CACUCUGUUCUCUCUACCGCUCUGCUCGAACCAUCACAAAGUCGUUUAAGCUCUCGCGGGCCGGAUCAAAUGACGCGGCGGGCCGGAUCUGGCCCGCAGGCCGUGAGUUUGACACCCCUGCUCUAGAAGAUGACCAACUCUAACAGCAGCAAUAGAUGAGCGAUCAUCUCUGACUUUACAUCUAUAAGGUGGACCAACUAGGUAGAGUGUAAAGUGUUCACCAUGCAGAAACACAUGUAGCGGUAGAGCUUCUUCUUCAACAGCGGGUGUGGAAAACUACAGUGCUCAUUACUGCCACCAACUGUAGUGAACCGUGCAGCAUCUCUGUGGAAAGACUAUUAGGAAUGUAACGUCAUGUUUUACACACUUUGGUUACAUUUAUGACAGGACAGAAAACCGGUGCUCCUGAAGGAAACCCACACAGACACGAAGAGAACAUGCAAACGCCACACAGAAAGGACCUGGACCGCUCCACCUGGACCCAGGACCUUGUUGCUGUUAGGCGACGAUGCUACCCACUGAGCCACAAUUAUUUGUUUAUUCAUAAACAAAUAAAUACAUAAAUAAACCCUUCAGUAAAAGAGAA